GUAGGUGAACCUGCGGAAGGAUCAUUAUUGAAAUAAACCUGAUAAGUUGCUGCUGGUUCUCUAGGGAGCAUGUGCACACUUGUCAUCUUUGUAUCUUCACCUGUGCAUCUUUUGUAGACCUGAGAAUCUCUCUGAAUGCUUUUAGCACUCAGGAUUGAGGAUUGACUUGAUGUCUUUUCUUACAUUUUCAGGCCUAUGUUUUUCAUAUACCCUAAUGUAUGUUUAUAGAAUGUAAUGAAUGGGCCUUUGUGCCUAUAAACAGCUACAACUUUCAGCAACGGAUCUCUUGGCUCUC
rnacentral:misc_RNA from 1 species